rnacentral:rRNA from 1 species
GAACCAGCAACUUGGAGGAAUGUAUAGCGAAAGCUGAUUGUGUUAUAUAAUACAAUACCGAUUAAAUCGGAUAAAAUUCUGGAUAGAAUUUAAUAAUGACAUUUUCUAUUUAUAUUUCCUGACCAAACUACGUGCCAGCAGUCGCGGUAACACGUUACAGAUAAGUGUUAUUCAUCUUUAUUUGGUUUAAAGGGUACCUAGACUGUAAAUCAAGCCUAAAAUUAUAUAAUAUUUAUAGGGACUAGUUUGCUAGAGUUUUUUACGAAGGGGUUUUAAUGUACUGUCGGUGUAGAGAUAAAAUUUUAUGAUACCCUGUCUUAGAUGUUAAUGGCACAGGUAAAUGCGAAAGCAUCCUUUUAUGGAAUAACUGACGUUGAGGGACGAAGGCUUUGGUAGCAAACAGGAUUAGAUACCCUAUUAGUCAAAGCAGUAAAUUAUGAAUGUCAUAUAUUAGAUAUAAUUUUAAUGUAUAAAUUAAAGUGUAAGCAUUCCACCUCAUGAGUAAUUUGGCAACAUUGGAACUGAAAUCAUUAGACCGUUUCUGAAACCAGUAGUGAAGUAUGUUGUUUAAUUAGAUGUUCCACUAAAAACCUUACCACAAUUUGAAUAUUUACUUUCUAUUUGGUCAAAUUAAAUAAAAAGUAUUUACAAGCGUUGCACGGUUGUCUUCAGUUAAUGUCGCGAGAUUUUGGUUAGUUCCAUUAAAUUAACGUAAACCCUUAUUUUAUUUAUAAAUAAAAUAGUUCACCAUUAUAGAGGAUUAGUGAUAAUAGGGAUCAAGACAAGUCAUCAUGACCUAAACAUUGUGGGCUA